UCGGCGAGGUUUCGGACCCAGAUACUACACUUCCCAGGAGGCCUUGCGCGGGCCGGGGCGUGGCCUUGUAGACGGGCGGCGUCCAUGGCGGGCCCGGUGAAGGACCGCGAGGCGUUCCAGAGGCUCAGCUUCCUCUACCAGGCCGCGCACUGCGUCCUCGCCCAGGACCCUGAGAACCAGGCGCUGGCGAGGUUUUACUGCCACACCGAGAGGACCAUAGCGAAGCGACUCGUGCUGCGACAGGACCCCUCGGUGAAGAGGACGCUGUGUCGCGGCUGCUCGUCCCUCCUCAUCCCGGGCCUCACCUGCACCCAGCGCCAGAGACGCCGCAGGGGACAGCGCUGGACAGUUCAGACCUGCCUGACGUGCCAGCGCAGCCAGCGGUUUCUCAAUGAUCCCAAGCAUACACUCUGGGGGGACCGGCCUGAGGCCCAGCUGGGGAACCAAGCAGGAGAUCUCCCUGAUCUGUCAACUAGAUGGGCAGGAGCUGACCCAAGACAUGGAGCUGGUGGACACCAGGACUGCAGGGCAUGGAACCUUCCAGAAGUGGGUGACUGUGGUGGUGCCUUCAAGAGAAGAGCAGAAUUACACUGCUGUGUGGAACAUGAGGAGCUGCAGAGCCCCGCACCCUGAGAUGGGCGCUGUACCCCCCGUGUCCCGACAAGGCGUGCGUGUUUACCUUGCCCGGAGUUCAGAGUGCUCUAGACACUCACGACAAGUGGCGCCCGAAUUCAGGGACUCCGAAGGUCGCUUAGGAAGCCUAGGGAAAUGAAUCCUUUAAAGCUUAAUUGGAAAAAUGAUGACCCAAUUUGGAUAGAUCAGUGGCCUAUGACUACUCAAAAGUUACAGGCAGCGCAGGAAUUGAUUGAUCAACAGCUUUUUCUACAUCACAUAGAACCAUCCACAUCUCCUUGGAAUUCUCCAAUAUUUGUGAUAAAAAAGAAAUCAGGCAAGUGGAGACUUUUAACGGACUUACGUGCUGUAAAUUCAUCCUUAAUUCAAAUGGGAGCCCUUCAGCCCGGUAUUCCUUUACCCUCAGCGCUCCCUGCUGGUUGGUUUGUAUAUGUUAUAGAUUUGCAAGAUUGUUUUUUUAACAUCCCAUUACAUCCAGAAGAUAGAAAACGGUUUGCUUUUUCAAUUCCUCAAACAAAUUAUCAAAGACCUUAUCAAAGAUAUCAAUGGAGGACUUUACCCCAAGGAAUGAAAAAUUCCCCAACUAUAUGUCAAAUUUAUGUUGAUGCAGCAUUAAAACCAGUGCGUGCACGAUGGCCUCAGGUUUAUACGGCUCAUUUCAUGGAUGAUAUUUUAUUCUCAUAUAGUGAUAGAAAUGUUUUAGAAGAUAUUUUAAAAACUUUACCUCAAUAUUUUUCUCCGUUUGGACUUGUAAUAGCACAGGAUAAAAUUCAAAAGGAAGAAGUUAGUCAUUAUUUGGGAUAUAUUCUUACUAGACAAAAGGUGAUUCCACAAAAAAUGUCUAUUAGGAGAGAUAAGUUAUCCACUUUAAAUGAUUUUCAAAAAUUAUUAGGGGAUAUUAAUUGGCUUCGUCCCACACUAGGUAUUCCUACCCAUGCAUUACAGCAUUUGUUUGCUACUCUACAGGGCUCUUCAGAUCCAUCCAGCCCUCGUUCUUUAACAACAAAAGCCGAGCAAAAAUUACAGUUUGUAGAACAACGAAUUAAGGAUGCAUUUUUAAUUAGGAUUGAUCCUAAAUUGCCUCUAACUUUAUAUAUUAUUAAUACUUUUCAAUAUCCCUCUGCAGUUUUAGGUCAAAAUGCUAUGCCAGUAGAAUGGGUAUUCACUAAAACUAAGCAAUCUAAAAAUGUUAUGCCUUAUAUUGACAUGGUUGCAGCUUUAAUUAUAAAUGGUAGAGCUCGUUCUAUAACUUUGAUAGGAAAAGAUAUAAACAAUAUAGUUAUCCCUUUAACUAAGGAACAAUGGGAAUAUUUGUUGUCAAUUACUGAAACCUUACAAAUUGCUUUAGCAGAUUUCAUGGGAACUUUUUCAUAUCAUUUUCCUAAAAGUAAAUUAUGGGAUUUUUUUAGACGUCAACAAUUUGUGGUUAAUACCUUAUUAGCUGUACAGCCAAUUCCACAAGCUUUGACUAUAUUUACAGAUGGAUCUAAAAAUAAAGCUGCAUAUUGGACUCAAAAAUCUUACUGGGUACGUCAGACAAAUUUUAACUCUGUACAACAAAAUGAACUUUUUGCUAUAUUACAAGUGUUUUUAGAUUUUCAUAACCAACCUAUUAAUAUUAUAGCCGAUUCGGCCUAUUCUGUUGGAGUAGUGACAAAUAUCUAUUCAGCUGUGUUAUAUUCUAAUAAGCCUGCUUUAUUGUCUUUAUUUCAAAAUUUACAAAUACAUGUUCAAAAAAGAAAUCAUUCUUAUUUUAUUACUCAUUUACGUUCUCAUUCUCAGUUACCCGGACCAUUAGUAUCAGGUAACAAUGCAGUGGAUUCCUUAGUUAUGUUCACCACACCCGUUGAAGAACAUCAAUUUAAUCAUGCAAAUGCAGGACAUUUGCAUCUUAAAUAUAAGAUACCUUUUACAAAAGCUAAACAAAUUGUAAAAGCCUGCCCUAUUUGUAGACCAUUACAUUUAAGAAUUAUUCCCGCAGGUGUCAACCCUCGAGGAACUCAACCUAAUAAAUUAUGGCAAAUGGAUAUUACACAUGUACCUUCUUUUGGUCGGCUUUCUUAUGUACAUGUAGUUAUUGAUACCUAUUCUUCAUUUCUAUGGGCUACUGCUCAACAGGGAGAAUCCACUAAAAAUGUUAUUGUACAUUUAUUGGAGACUUUUGCAGUUAUGGGAAUUCCUUCUAAAAUCAAAACAGAUAAUGGACCUGCUUAUACUAGCAGAACAUUUAAACAAUUUUGUGAUCUCCAUAAUAUUAUUCAUAUUACAGGGAUUGAAUAUAACCCCCAGGGUCAAGCUAUUGUUGAAAGAGCACAUGGCACUCUUAAGUUACAAAUUAAAAAAUUAAAAAGGAGGAGUCAGGAGGAUAUUCAGAUACCAAUACUGUUUAAAUUGCAAAACAGUCCAAAAACAUUACUGCAUCAAGCAUUGUUUAUUUUAAAUUUUCUCAAUUUACCACAAGGUGAAAUAUUAACAAGAGCUGAAAAACAUUUUGAACAGCAACAACAGCCUUUUGUGAUUAAUGAACCUAUUUGGACUAAAACAGCUCCAGAGGCUGAAUGGGAGAGGGGCACAUUGCUCUAUAGGGGGAAAGGUUUUGGUUAUAUCUCCACAGAAAAUGGAAUUCAGCAGUGGGUCCCUGGACGAUGGAUCAGGACCCGCGUCUCCAGAUCCUGUUCACCAGCCCCGGAGACAACUCCCCAAGGAACCGGAACCGUGCCUUCAGAAGCGAGCGCAAAACCAGCUAGAAGCUGAGGAUGCUGAGCUUGUUCCUAUCGCAGCCAUGGCCAGAUUACAGCUAAGAAAAUCCCGCCGCUCACAGCGACCAAAUUUAAAUCCCCUCCCUACAUGGGGACAAUUAAAGAAAUUGACCAUAGAAGGGCAACGGCUUGUCCUUCAAGCAGGAAAGCCUUUAAACCCUGAAAACUUGUUUUUAGCUUUAUGUGCCUUGCUCACCGUUGCAUCGGGGACUGAGGUACCUCCGCAUUCGUACUGGGCAUAUAUUCCAAACCCCCCUUUAUUAGAACCUGUAAAAUGGGGAACUAGUGAUAUUUUACUUUAUACCACACCUAGAGAAAUUUUGUCAGCACCGUGGGCUGAUUUAACCCCCCACAAUCAAGAUGAUGGGACACUAUUCAAUUUUACUUAUUAUGGUAAUCAAAGGCCUAUUUGCAUUGGGGAACCGCCUUGCAUCCCUCUGGGAUGGCAGUAUUGGAUUCAACAUGGAAUAAAAGCAGGCAACAAAAGGACAAGGCUUCAAGCCUUGGCUGCUCAAACCUUUAAUGUUACCUGGAGAAAUUUAACAGCACCUGAUACAAAUACAUUUCCUGUAUGCCCUGAAUUCACUUAUAAAAAUAUUUCUUAUAAUCCCAUAAUUUGGCAACUAUGUAUGGGAAAAUUUGCUAAAAAUAUUGAUGGGUAUAUUAUUUGGGGACCAUUUGGAAAAUUCGUUAAUGGAUGUGCUGAAUGGAAUGAGACAAGAUGUAAUCUCUCUGUUGUGUAUAGUCUUCCAGAUCCAAAGAAAAUAACUGACGGAGCUCCUAUAUUUCAACAAAAGACGGCUCUCUUGUGGUGGGGAGAUGGUGGAAUCGCUAACCCUGCUGUUGCAGCCGAAGAAUACCCUCAUCACCUUCAAAAUCAUAUUUGAAAGAUCCCAGCCGCUAUGCAACCUGUAACCUUGUACAAUGUUUCAUAUUCAGGGACUAGUCGAUCUGUAUCUACUACUUAUAAUUUUACUAGGUUUAAAAUGUAUAAUAUUACUGUUUGUGCACCUCUACCUUAUGUCUUUUUAGUGGGAACUUUUAAUUUUACACAUUUUUCUUGUACUUGUUUAAAUUGUCAAUUGUUUACAUGCUUAAAUAACACACUAAAUUUCACUAAGCCUUAUACAGUUAUGCUGUUACAACAAAAAACUCAUAUUUGGUUGCCUGUAAAUUUAACUCGACCUUGGUCUCAAGACCCGGUAAUUUCUGUUACUACUGAAUUUUUUAAACAUCUGUUAAAACGUACAAAAAGAUUUAUUGGAAUAGUGGUUGCUGUACUGUUAAGUCUGAUAACUGUAGCCUCGUAGAAAAAUAUUGGCUCUUCAGCAUCAAGUGUUUUUAAAAUGUGAUUGGAAUUCAACUACUUUCUGUAUAACCCAACGACCUUAUAAUCAGACAGAACAUGAAUGGGAAAUGAUUAGAAUGUAUUUAAAUGGAAACACCUCUGCCCAGGAGAAAAUAGAAUCUUUACAUAAUCAAAUUGACAAGGAUUUUGCAAAGCAAAAUGAUGAUGAAUCUCUAGCACAAUUCGCGCAAUUGCUUGCUCAAUCUUUGAAAGGAUUAGAUUCCAAAGGAAUCUGGCAGAGCAUUACCCACACUUUUAGUGGCAUGGGACUUAGUUUAAUUAUAGUUCUCAUUGCCAUAGUUCUUGUGUAUUUUUACUGCAUAAGACGAAAUGCUAUUAAUAACCUGAUCUUAUGGAAAUUGUUGUUAAAAAAUAAAAAGGAAGGAAGUGUGGGGGAUGAGGUGUCACUUUGUAGGCCCAACCCCCUCUAACCUGCAAUUUACAAUAGCCGCCCUGGUAUGCGAGAAGGAGGUAGAACGGGAAUGCCUGUUCUCAGUGAGCCCUCACCCUCUGGAAUCCAUACUGUGAGCUGGCUUUGUUUUGCAGAAGUCUUGAGGAAGUGGCUGGCCACCCUUUGUGACACUAACAGCAGACAAAUUAACAACAUUCUUGAGCUAAUGAAUUUCUUCCUGGGCUAGAGAAGUUGUGAGAACUGGUUGUGAUUAUUUACUUCACUUAGAUAGUUUUAGAAUAAACAUUGUAGUCUGUCACGUUGUAGCUUGCCACAAAGAAUGCCUUUUCACUACUUAAUUAUCUGGGCUCUGUGAAUUGAUCGGGUUUACUAUAUAUGAAUCCUAAAAUAAAGAUUGUGCGUACAGUGCAGUGCAGUGCAAUGUAACGCGGUGCAGACAGCAAA